rnacentral:rRNA from 1 species
UACGAAGGGGGCGAGCGUUGUUCGGAAUCACUGGGCGUAAAGGGUGCGUAGGCGGGUCUUUAAGUCAGGGGUGAAAUCCUGGAGCUCAACUCCAGAACUGCCUUUGAUACUGAAGAUCUUGAGUUCGGGAGAGGUGAGUGGAACUGCGAGUGUAGAGGUGAAAUUCGUAGAUAUUCGCAAGAACACCAGUGGCGAAGGCGGCUCACUGGCCCGGUACUGACGCUGAGGCACGAAAGCGUGGGGAGCAAACAGG